GUGCUUGUGUCAGCAGCACAUAUACUAAAAUUAGAACUAUACGGAGAAGAUUAGCAUGGCCCCUGUGCAAGAAUGACAUGCAAAUUUGUGAAGCGUUUUGUAUUUUU
ensembl:snRNA U6 U6 spliceosomal RNA